ACUCCUACGGGAGGCAGCAGUGGGGAAUAUUGCACAAUGGGCGCAAGCCUGAUGCAGCCAUGCCGCGUGUGUGAAGAAGGCCUUCGGGUUGGUAAAGACNCUUUCAGUCGUGAGGAAGGUAGUGUAGUUAAUAGCUGCAUUAUUUGACGUUAGCGACAGAAGAAGCACCGGCUAACUCCGUGCCAGCAGCCGCGGUAAUACGGAGGGUGC
rnacentral:rRNA from 1 species